GACGAACGCUGGCGGCGUGCUUAACACAUGCAAGUCGAACGGAAAGGCCCUGCUUUUGUGGGGUGCUCGAGUGGCGAACGGGUGAGUAACACGUGAGUAACCUGCCCUUGACUUUGGGAUAACUUCAGGAAACUGGGGAUAAUACCGGAUAGGAGCUCCUGCUGCAUGGUGGGGGUUGGAAAGUUUCGGCGGUUGGGGAUGGACUCGCGGCUUAUGAGCUUGUUGGUGGGGUAGUGGCUUACCAAGGCUUUGACGGGUAGCCGGCCUGAGAGGGUGACCGGCCACAUUGGGACUGAGAUACGGCCCAGACGCCUACGGGAGGCAGCAGUGGGGAAUAUUGCACAAUGGGCGGAAGUCUGAUGCAGCAACGCCGCGUGCGGGAUGACGGCCUUCGGGUUGUAAACCGCUUUCGCCUGUGACGAAGCGUGAGUGACGGUAAUGGGUAAAGAAGCACCGGCUAACUACGUG
rnacentral:rRNA from 1 species